rnacentral:piRNA from 1 species
UGCCCAAAGUCCACAUUCAUAUAUAUUGUC